GAUGAACGCUGGCGGCGUGCCUAAUACAUGCAAGUCGAGCGAACAGACGAGGAGCUUGCUCCUCUGACGUUAGCGGCGGACGGGUGAGUAACACGUGGAUAACCUACCUAUAAGACUGGGAUAACUUCGGGAAACCGGAGCUAAUACCGGAUAAUAUAUUGAACCGCAUGGUUCAAUAGUGAAAGACGGUUUUGCUGUCACUUAUAGAUGGAUCCGCGCCGCAUUAGCUAGUUGGUAAGGUAACGGGUUACCAAGGCAACGAUGGGUAGACGACCUGAGAGGGGGGUCGCCCACAUGAGAACGUGACCACGGGCACGGGCACUGAGGGAGGGACCAGUCGGGAAAUGGCCGCAACGGGGGGAAAGCUUGCAGAAUGAGCGCGAGCGAGGGGCGGAGGUGCUGCGUGCGGAAAAACCUUUUUUUGGGGGAAAACAAAUUUGGAAAGAAAAGAGGCGGUCGUGACGGUACCUGAAGAAGAAGCCCCGGCUAACUACGUG
rnacentral:rRNA from 1 species